GCAAAAAAAGGAUGAAUCAUCCCCACACAGUGAAGGAGGCAGUGGAUGAUUCAGCACCCACUGAUGAGCCUCAGGCUGAACAGUGCACACCAGAGAAACAGAGGAUGACCGGGAACCCUGGGAUUCUAAAGCGACUGGUCAGAAACAUCUUCCCAUUCAUCUUCAGACCUCCUGAGAAUUAAGAGUUUUAGGGAUGUUUUUAGUCACUGUUAUAGUGCUUGGUUCAGAUGAAAUUCAUUCUUGGAUAUCCAAAUAAAAUAAAAUGAGUACA